UCACACCUUACGGUGGCAGUAUCUCCAGAGUGCCCAGCAUCACCUGAUGGCAACUGAAAAAAGGGGUUGCGCUCGUUAUGGCACUUAAGCCGACACCUCACGGCACGAGCUGACGACAACCAUGCAGCACCUUCACAGACGCCCCGAAGGGCCUCUUCAUCUCUGAAUCGUUCGUCUGCAAUUCAAGCCCGGGUAAGGUUCCUCGCGUAUCAUCGAAUUAAACCACAUGUUCCUCCGCUUGUGCGAGCCCCCGUCAAUUCCUUUGAGUUUCACCGUUGCCGGCGUACUCCCCAGGUGGGAUGCUUAAUGCUUUCGCUUGGUCGCUAAUUCGUAAGUGAACUAACAACGGGCAUCCAUCGUUUACUGUGCGGACUAC
rnacentral:misc_RNA from 1 species